rnacentral:misc_RNA from 1 species
UACGAGGGGACUAGCGUUGUUCGGAAAUACUGGGCGUAAAGCGAACGUAGGUGGCUUUUCAAGUCAGGGGUGAAAUCCCGGGGCUCAACCCCGGAACUGCCCUUGAAACUGGAUCGCUAGAAUCCUGGAGAGGUGAGUGGAAUUCCGAGUGUAGAGGUGAAAUUCGUAGAUAUUCGGAAGAACACCAGUGGCGAAGGCGACUCACUGGACAGGUAUUGACGCUGAGGUUCGAAAGCGUGGAGAGCAAACAGG